AGUUUGUGGCAAAGUUCACGCAUGCUUGUGGUUGCCUAUGGCUAGGAAGUUUAAGGUCAGCGAGAUGUAGUGUGUCACCAUAGCAAUGAUCAGUGAAGACGAUAUACUGGUACUGGGUUGGUGGGUGAAACAUACACAACAACAAAAAAAUGGAAUCAAAUGACUUGAUAAGGCUUUGCACUCUAAGCUUUCAUUAGUAGUUGCAUGUUGGCAGACACACCAGUGUCAUGUUGGUAGUAUUAGACUAGCUACUUAACACAAUUAAGCAACUGGAUGCAGUGAUGUUGAUUGAUAAGUGAUUUAAACAAUGCAUAUUUGAUCUCUUUUCCUGAUUGCUCUUAAUUCUUUUUUUUUCUUUUUUGGCAGUUUGGGUGUUAGUAAAUAACCAAAGUUCAGACAAGUCAGAAAGUACAUCCCCCCCACCCACAACCAAGCCUAAGUAAAUGGAGCUUUGCAGCCAUCACCACGAAGAGCAAAUGACAGCUUUUUACCAUUGGAAAGUUUCGAUUUGUACAUAAUACUAAUUAGUGACUUAGUUUGUAUUGUUGAACUGUACACAAAGUAAUUUCCCUCCUGAUUCUUGAUCAUUAAUUUAAGGCUUGGAAACAUUGGAUUUGUGUAUUUCUUGAUUUUGUGUUGGUUCAUGUUGGUUCUAUUAGAGAGCUCUAGAGUCGAGAACGUGAAUAAAAACGGGUACGACUUUG